rnacentral:rRNA from 1 species
UUAAGCGACUAAGCGUACACGGUGGAUGCCCUGGCAGUCAGAGGCGAUGAAGGACGUGCUAAUCUGCGAUAAGCGUCGGUAAGGUGAUAUGAACCGUUAUAACCGGCGAUUUCCAAAUGGGGAAACCCAGUGUGAUUCGACACACUAUCAUUAACUGAAUCCAUAGGUUAAUGAGGCGAACCGGGGGAACUGAAACAUCUAAGUACCCCGAGGAAAAGAAAUCAACCGAGAUUCCCCCAGUAGCGGCGAGCGAACGGGGAGCAGCCCAGAGCCUGAAUCAGUGUGUGUGUUAGUGGAAGCGUCUGGAAAGGCGCGCGAUACAGGGUGACAGCCCCGUACACAAAAAUGCACAUGCUGUGAGCUCGAUGAGUAGGGCGGGACACGUGGUAUCCUGUCUGAAUAUGGGGGGACCAUCCUCCAAGGCUAAAUACUCCUGACUGACCGAUAGUGAACCAGUACCGUGAGGGAAAGGCGAAAAGAACCCCGGCGAGGGGAGUGAAAAAGAACCUGAAACCGUGUACGUACAAGCAGUGGGAGCACGCUUCGGCGUGUGACUGCGUACCUUUUGUAUAAUGGGUCAGCGACUUAUAUUCUGUAGCAAGGUUAACCGAAUAGGGGAGCCGAAGGGAAACCGAGUCUUAACUGGGCGUUAAGUUGCAGGGUAUAGACCCGAAACCCGGUGAUCUAGCCAUGGGCAGGUUGAAGGUUGGGUAACACUAACUGGAGGACCGAACCGACUAAUGUUGAAAAAUUAGCGGAUGACUUGUGGCUGGGGGUGAAAGGCCAAUCAAACCGGGAGAUAGCUGGUUCUCCCCGAAAGCUAUUUAGGUAGCGCCUCGUGAAUUCAUCUCCGGGGGUAGAGCACUGUUUCGGCAAGGGGGUCAUCCCGACUUACCAACCCGAUGCAAACUGCGAAUACCGGAGAAUGUUAUCACGGGAGACACACGGCGGGUGCUAACGUCCGUCGUGAAGAGGGAAACAACCCAGACCGCCAGCUAAGGUCCCAAAGUCAUGGUUAAGUGGGAAACGAUGUGGGAAGGCCCAGACAGCCAGGAUGUUGGCUUAGAAGCAGCCAUCAUUUAAAGAAAGCGUAAUAGCUCACUGGUCGAGUCGGCCUGCGCGGAAGAUGUAACGGGGCUAAACCAUGCACCGAAGCUGCGGCAGCGACGCUUAUGCGUUGUUGGGUAGGGGAGCGUUCUGUAAGCCUGCGAAGGUGUGCUGUGAGGCAUGCUGGAGGUAUCAGAAGUGCGAAUGCUGACAUAAGUAACGAUAAAGCGGGUGAAAAGCCCGCUCGCCGGAAGACCAAGGGUUCCUGUCCAACGUUAAUCGGGGCAGGGUGAGUCGACCCCUAAGGCGAGGCCGAAAGGCGUAGUCGAUGGGAAACAGGUUAAUAUUCCUGUACUUGGUGUUACUGCGAAGGGGGGACGGAGAAGGCUAUGUUGGCCGGGCGACGGUUGUCCCGGUUUAAGCGUGUAGGCUGGUUUUCCAGGCAAAUCCGGAAAAUCAAGGCUGAGGCGUGAUGACGAGGCACUACGGUGCUGAAGCAACAAAUGCCCUGCUUCCAGGAAAAGCCUCUAAGCAUCAGGUAACAUCAAAUCGUACCCCAAACCGACACAGGUGGUCAGGUAGAGAAUACCAAGGCGCUUGAGAGAACUCGGGUGAAGGAACUAGGCAAAAUGGUGCCGUAACUUCGGGAGAAGGCACGCUGAUAUGUAGGUGAAGUCCCUUGCGGAUGGAGCUGAAAUCAGUCGAAGAUACCAGCUGGCUGCAACUGUUUAUUAAAAACACAGCACUGUGCAAACACGAAAGUGGACGUAUACGGUGUGACGCCUGCCCGGUGCCGGAAGGUUAAUUGAUGGGGUUAGCCGCAAGGCGAAGCUCUUGAUCGAAGCCCCGGUAAACGGCGGCCGUAACUAUAACGGUCCUAAGGUAGCGAAAUUCCUUGUCGGGUAAGUUCCGACCUGCACGAAUGGCGUAAUGAUGGCCAGGCUGUCUCCACCCGAGACUCAGUGAAAUUGAACUCGCUGUGAAGAUGCAGUGUACCCGCGGCAAGACGGAAAGACCCCGUGAACCUUUACUAUAGCUUGACACUGAACAUUGAGCCUUGAUGUGUAGGAUAGGUGGGAGGCUUUGAAGUGUGGACGCCAGUCUGCAUGGAGCCGACCUUGAAAUACCACCCUUUAAUGUUUGAUGUUCUAACGUUGACCCGUAAUCCGGGUUGCGGACAGUGUCUGGUGGGUAGUUUGACUGGGGCGGUCUCCUCCUAAAGAGUAACGGAGGAGCACGAAGGUUGGCUAAUCCUGGUCGGACAUCAGGAGGUUAGUGCAAUGGCAUAAGCCAGCUUGACUGCGAGCGUGACGGCGCGAGCAGGUGCGAAAGCAGGUCAUAGUGAUCCGGUGGUUCUGAAUGGAAGGGCCAUCGCUCAACGGAUAAAAGGUACUCCGGGGAUAACAGGCUGAUACCGCCCAAGAGUUCAUAUCGACGGCGGUGUUUGGCACCUCGAUGUCGGCUCAUCACAUCCUGGGGCUGAAGUAGGUCCCAAGGGUAUGGCUGUUCGCCAUUUAAAGUGGUACGCGAGCUGGGUUUAGAACGUCGUGAGACAGUUCGGUCCCUAUCUGCCGUGGGCGCUGGAGAACUGAGGGGGGCUGCUCCUAGUACGAGAGGACCGGAGUGGACGCAUCACUGGUGUUCGGGUUGUCAUGCCAAUGGCACUGCCCGGUAGCUAAAUGCGGAAGAGAUAAGUGCUGAAAGCAUCUAAGCACGAAACUUGCCCCGAGAUGAGUUCUCCCUGACCCUUUAAGGGUCCUGAAGGAACGUUGAAGACGACGACGUUGAUAGGCCGGGUGUGUAAGCGCAGCGAUGCGUUGAGCUAACCGGUACUAAUGAACCGUGAGGCUUAACCUU